UCUCUCUCUCUCUCUGCAUGAAAGGAAGAUUGUAUGAUGCAUGUAUAUGGACAGCAAUGCCACAUGGUAGUGA